rnacentral:lncRNA from 11 species
UUUUUGCACCAGACCUCAGUGGAGGUGGAUGCAUGUAUGUUUGUGGACUUCAGUGAGUACAACUAUACUUAAAAACUAUGGACUAUUGAUUAAGAAUUAUACCUUGUGUACUCAACACAGAGAGAAGCUACAUCCUAUCUGUAACUGAACUUUAAUAAGAAAUGUGCCUGUAUGGUGAAUUAAUACAAGAUGUUUUAUGAGUAAACAAGAUUUGUUAUUUUUCAAAGAAGACUAUGUAUUUUUAUCUACCGGGCACUGAUUGAGAACUAUUCUGUAUCUGGGAUCUGUUAGUCUAUGUCAGCCCAAUUUACCACCAUAUAUUACAGUAAGUUGUAACAGGACCAACUGUAUGUGUGUUGAAGAAAAAUCUUAUGAUGCUAAUUACUAGGUGCAGCUGGUAAUGUAGGUCAACCAGCAACCUUGGACCUCACCCAAUAGGGUAUAACUGUAUGGGUUUUUACAAUAGAGUUCUGGAGAGUUUUUUCUCUCAGGAAAUCUAUGCUCAAAGGCUCUGCUCUGAGGAACAGGUAUUUAAAAGAUGUCUGAAGAUGUUUUCAGGCUUAAUGGGGAAAACCAAAUGGUUUGUAGUCAUCCACUUUGAAAAGAAUGGCAGAAUGUGUAUAUUGUGCAGCUGUGAGACCAAAGGAUCCAGCACCAUGGAGAGCUCCUUUCAAGUCUGGGCUAAAACCCAUGAUGGAUUUGCCACCCCACUGUCACGGAAGCUGCCAGUCCCUACAGGGGUAUUUCCUUUGGUUUUCUUGAGACCUAUUCCUCUUCAGAUAUUUGAGACCAUUCACUUCCUUAUGAUCUACAAUAUCAAUGGCAGCUGUGUUGUGUGUGGAUAGAUCACAUAGCAACUCAGCCCAGAUGCCUGCCAAAAACAUUGGCGCUGACAGCUCCCAUGCCCAUAUUUAAACGAAUGUUUAGAAACCCCACCGAGGAAUGAAAGCUGGGGGGGGGGGGGGGGAGAAGGAGUCUGGAGGAAUCCAGGGCUAAUAAUAAACAAGUGUUAUUUUCCUUUAAAAAAGAAGACAACUCUUGAGUUAUUUUGGAAUCAUAACUGUUCGCUCUGGCAGGGAAAGUUUGUUGUAUCAUCAAGCGGCCUCCACGUGAAAGAACGAUAUUGGUAUGGUUCCCAGAACUGUUGACAAAAACAUAUGGAAAUGUAUGUGAUUUCCUGUUUGUGAUUCCAGUUUGUCUUUCGCACACGAGGAGUAGCUGUAGCUUACCUGGUUUCUCAUAAGGAUGAGCCACAAAACAUCAUCAUCAUCAUCAUCAUCAUCAUUAUUCUCCCGCUUUUCUCCCACAGGUGGACUCAGCAGCAAACAAAUG